AUUGAACGCUGGCGGCAGGCCUAACACAUGCAAGUCGAACGAGUGGCGGACGGGUGAGUAAUGUCUGGGAAACUGCCCGAGGGAGGGGGAUAACUAAUGGAAACGGUAGCUAAUACCGCAUACCAUCGGAUGUGCCCAGAGGGGAUUAGCUAGUAGGUGGGGUAACGGCGUACCUAGGCGACGAUCCCUAGCUGGUCUGAGAGGCUGACCAGCAACACUGGAACUGGUACACGGUCCAGACUCCUACGGGAGGCAGCAGUGGGGAAUAUUGCACAAUGGGCGAAAGCCUGAUGCAGCCAUGCCGCGUGUAUGAAGAAGGCCUUCGGGUUGUAAAGUACUUUCAGCGAGGAGGCGUUACUCUCAGAAGAAGCACCGGCUAACUCCGUGCCAGCAGCCGCGGUAAUUC
rnacentral:rRNA from 1 species